rnacentral:rRNA from 1 species
CAUUACAGAGUUCCUGCCCUCACGGGUAGAAACCCCACCCUUGUGUAUAUUAUAUUGUUGCUUUAGCAGGUCGCCCUCUGGGCGUCGGCCUCGGCUGACUGUGCCUGCUAGAGGACCCUAAAUUUUGAAAUACAGUGUCGUCUGAGUACUAUUUAAUAGUUAAAACUUUCAACAACGGAUCUCUUGGUUCUGGCAUCGAUGAAGAACGCAGCGAAAUGCGAUAAGUAAUGUGAAUUGCAGAAUUCAGUGAAUCAUCGAAUCUUUGAACGCACAUUGCGCCCCUUGGUAUUCCGGGGGGCAUGCCUGUUCGAGCGUCAUUUAGACCAACUCCCGCUCCGGCGGGGUCUUGGGCUGCGCCUUUGGGCGGGCCUUAAAACCAGUGGCGGUGCCCUAAGGCUCUACGCGUAGUAAUUCUUCUCGCGAUAGGGUCCUUGCGGUGUCUUGCCAGCAACCCCCAACUCUCUAGGGUUGACCUCGGAU